rnacentral:misc_RNA from 1 species
GAUGAAGAACGUAGCGAAAUGCGAUACGUAAUGUGAAUUGCAGAAUUCAGUGAAUCAUCGAGUCUUUGAACGCACAUUGCGCCCCCUGGUAUUCCGGGGGGCAUGCCUGUCCGAGCGUCAUUGCUGCCCUCAAGCACGGCUUGUGUGUUGGGCCGUCGUCCCCCUCCUAGGGGACGGGCCCGAAAGGCAGCGGCGGCACCGCGUCCGGUCCUCGAGCGUAUGGGGCUUCGUCACCCGCUCCGUAGGCCCGGCCGGCGCUUGCCGACGACCAUCAAUCUCUUUCUCCAGGUUGACCUCGGAUCAGGUAGGGAUACCCGCUGAACUUAAGCAUAUCAAUAAGCGGAGGA